GCUCAGCAUUGGCAAAGUAGAGGGUGGCAGAGGAACGGAAGAUUAAUAUUCCUGGCACUUGCUUCGCCUAAAACCAAUUAAUGAGCUGUGUCCUGAAGAUGACAGUGAGCAUGGAGAAGGCGAUGGCAGCAGCCAGUCCCAGAGCGGGGAUGUCCAAGAACUGCUUCAUCAUGCCAUGGAGAUUAACGAAGAUGAUGGCAGCCAGCACUGCCUGAAAAAACAAAACAAAAACAACAAACAGAGCAAUUUGUGUGGUGUGCUACACUGGGUUUGAUGAGCUCAGCACUGGAGUUAACGGGCAGGCAAAAGGUAACGUGGACAUAAACUCAGACAUUAAAAUUUAUUUUCAGGAUUUUAAAGGACUGGCGUGCUUUAUGAACGUGAACCGGUGACCUAACAAAGGCCCGCGCAUAUUUGAUGACGAAGUGAAAAGCAUUAGGGCAGGAUAAAAUCAUCCCAAACCUUUCAACCUGAACAAUCUGGUUGCAUUUUAGAGCACAAUCCUCAGCUGUGAGGUAAAUCUCUCCUGAGCCAGGCUCGGAGCGGGCCUUGUAAUUCUGAACACAUUCCUGCUUGGCUCUGAGUGUGUGUUCACCACUGUGUGUGUGCAAACACACAUGCGAAU